GCUGGCGGCGUGCUUACACAUGCAAGUCGAACGAUGAAAGCAGGAGCUUGCUCUUGCCGGAUUAGUGGCGAACGGGUGAGUAACACGUGAGCAAUCUGCCCCUGACUCUGGGAUAAGCGUUGGAAACGACGUCUAAUACCGGAUACGAGCUAAAGCCGCAUGGCUAUUAGCUGGAAAGAACUUCGGUCAGGGAUGAGCUCGCGGCCUAUCAGCUAGUUGGUGAGGUAAUGGCCCACCAAGGCGACGACGGGUAGCCGGCCUGAGAGGGUGACCGGCCACACUGGGACUGAGACACGGCCCAGACUCCUACGGGAGGCAGCAGUGGGGAAUAUUGCACAAUGGGCGCAAGCCUGAUGCAGCAACGCCGCGUGAGGGACGAAGGCCUUCGGGUUGUAAACCUCUUUUAGCAGGGAAGAAGCGAAAGUGACGGUACCUGCAGAAAAAGCACCGGCUAACUACGUGCCAGCAGCCGCGGUAAUACGUAGGGUGCAAGCGUUGUCCGGAAUUAUUGGGCGUAAAGAGCUCGUAGGCGGUUUGUCGCGUCUGCUGUGAAAAUCCGAGGCUCAACCUCGGACCUGCAGUGGGUACGGGCAAACUAGAGUGCGGUAGGGGAGAUUGGAAUUCCUGGUGUAGCGGUGGAAUGCGCAGAUAUCAGGAGGAACACCAAUGGCGAAGGCAGAUCCCUGGGCCGUAACUGACGCUGAGGAGCGAAAGCGUGGGGAGCGAACAGGAUUAGAUACCCUGGUAGUCCACGCC
rnacentral:rRNA from 1 species